AUUGAACGCUGGCGGCAGGCCUAACACAUGCAAGUCGAACGAGUGGCGGACGGGUGAGUAAUGUCUGGGAAACUGCCCGAUGGAGGGGGAUAACUACUGGAAACGGUAGCUAAUACCGCAUACCAUCGGAUGUGCCCCGAUGGGAUUGGCUAGUAGGGGGGGUAACGGCUCACCUGGGCGACGAUCCCCAGCUGGUCUGCGGGGAUGACCAGCAAAACGGGAACGGAGACACGGCCCAGACCCCUACGGUGGGAAGCGGUGGGGAACAUUGGAAAAUGGGGGAAAGCCGGAGGCAGCCAUGCCGCGUGGAUGAAGAAGGCCUUCGGGUUGAAAAGUACUUUCAGCGAGGAGGCGUUACUCGCAGAAGAAGCACCGGCUAACUCCGUGCCAGCAGCCGCGGUAAUAC
rnacentral:rRNA from 1 species